AUCUCCCACCCUUUGUCUACCACACCUCUGUUGCUUUGGCGGGACGCCUAGCUACCGGCUUCGGCUGGUAAGUGCCCGCCAGAGGACCCAAAACCCUGAAUAUUAGUGUCGUCUGAGUAAAAAAGUUAAUAUUUAAAACUUUCAACAACGGAUCUCUUGGCUCUGGCAUCGAUGAAGAACGCAGCGAAAUGCGAUAAGUAAUGUGAAUUGCAGAAUUCAGUGAAUCAUCGAAUCUUUGAACGCACAUUGCGCCCCUUGGUAUUCCGAGGGGCAUGCCUAUUCGAGCGUCAUUAUCACCCCUCAAGCCUAGCUUGGUGUUGAGACCUGCCCCCCGGGGCAGUCUCUAAAAUCAGUGGCAGUGCUGUCAGGCUCUAAGCGUAGUAAAUUCCUCGCUAUAGGGUCCUGGUGGACACUCGCCAAAACCCCCCCAUUUUUUAAUGAUUGACCUCGGAUUAGGUAGGGAUACCCGCUGAACUUAAGCAUAUCAAUAAGCGGAGG
rnacentral:rRNA from 1 species